rnacentral:rRNA from 1 species
GAUGAAUGCUGGCGGCGUGCCUAACACAUGCAAGUCGAGCGGUAACAGAUCUAGCUUGCUAGAUGCUGACGAGCGGCGGACGGCUGAGUAACGCUUGGGAACAUACCCCAAAGUGAGGGAUAACCGCCCGAAAGGGUGGCUAAUACCGCAUAUGGUCUUCGGAUUAAAGGAUGUAUCCGCUUUGGGAAUGGCCUGCGUACGAUUAGAUAGUUGGUGGGGUAAUGGCCUACCAAGUCUACGAUCGUUAACUGGUUUGAGAGGAUGAUCAGUCAGACUGGAACUGAGACACGGUCCAGACUCCUACGGGAGGCAGCAGUGAGGAAUCUUCCACAAUGGGCGAAAGCCUGAUGGAGCAACGCCGCGUGCAGGAUGAAGGCCUUCGGGUUGUAAACUGCUUUUAUAAGUGAAGAAUAUGACGGUAACUUAUGAAUAAGCACCGGCUAACUACGUGCCAGCCGCCGCCGUA